UUAAGGACUAGGUGAGGUGAUACUUAGCAAGAGCACUCUGGGAGUUAUCACACCGCUGAUCACCUGCCUGCCUGUAGACAUUUUGAAAAGCAUAUGGAUUAGGAUUGGAAGAGACCUCAGAGAAACUGCUGCUACCCUGAUAUCACAAACGGGAAAUCGAGGCACAGGAAAAUUCGAGUCAUUGCUCAGCUACAGAGUGAGAGGACUUGGACUGAGAUUCAAGACCUGAGAUAGGAAAUAAUGGCAAACUGGAUGCUGUAGCUCCAACCAUCACAACUGCAUUCCGGAAAGGAAGAAGGGAGAAGCAAAGUGAUAGAAGCCUCACCCAAGAACUUCAGCCUACAUCCCACUCUCACAAACUUUGUCACACGGCCACUCACGUGCAGGGAAGCAACAUUAAACCGACUUCUGCCCAGCCUUCCAGAAUGUUCCAAAGAUAACGGCAGUGGGAAUUUCUGGAGCACUUGUUCCUACAUUGAGAUGUCAACCAGUUGCUAUUAGAGUAUUUUAAUAGAUGAAGAUUUGAAGUCAACUUGGGAUUUCCUUCACAAUUCUAAUUUGAGUGUUUUCAUUUUAAAUGA